UACGUAGGGUCCGAGCGUUGUCCGGAAUUAUUGGGCGUAAAGAGCUCGUAGGCGGUUUGUCGCGUCUGCUGUGAAAUCCCGAGGCUCAACCUCGGGCCUGCAGUGGGUACGGGCAGACUGGAGUGCGGGUAGGGGAGAAUGGAAUUCCUGGUGUAGCGGUGGAAUGCGCAGAUAUCAGGAAGAACACCGGUGGCGAAGGCGGCUCUCUGGGCCUUACCUGACGUUGAGGGACGAAAGUGUGGGGAGCAAACAGG
rnacentral:rRNA from 1 species